CUGUCUCCAUUCAGAUUUCUUCCCUCGCAUUAUCUUCAUGGUCUAGAACCGCAGAACCAGAUAAACCAGAUAAAAAAGACGAGCCUCUUCGGCUCGGAGGCUUCAAUCCUCGAGCUCACGCUCUCUCCGGUCGCCGCCGCUACCCGGCGAUAGCAGCAGGCUCGACACUCCUGUACUUGUUCCUACUUCAUCGCUUUGAGAGCUGAUCGUCCUUCGGAGGGUGAAGUUGGUGUCUUGCGCUUGAACUGUGCGUUUUGGCUUUAUUUACAAUGUGAAAUGGCCCAUAACGAAAGAGAUGAAGAACCGAUACUGUCGGAAACGCAACAGCAAUUAUCAGAUGAUCAUAACAGUUCUCAACCUCGGUCACGUAUAUCUAGGACCCGGAGUGUGUCAAUUUCCAUCCCUACGAGCUCCAUGGAGUCAUACGAGAGUAUAACGAGUCGAGUAGGUUACACUGGACCUUUAAGGAGUAGGACACCUUUCUCGCUAAUGAGUGGCCCGUUACACAAUCACGGACCUGGCAGCACGGGAGUGGAGCCGCAACAAAUGAAAGAAAAAUUCCCUUCUUUUAGCAUAAAGGAUCGUAUUGACUCCGCAGAUGACGACUAUGGUGCUAAAAUGAGCAUUUACUGAGGUCCGGGCGACUGGGGAUGUGCAAUGACCGUUACUGUACAACUUGCCCCUCGCAUUACAAUAGAAGGGCGCAACAAACAAGUUCUGAAAGUUCAAGUAUCGCUGAUACCCGGGUGAUAACUCUAUCUCUAAGCACUAAGCAUAACUUUCUAAUUAGUGUGGGACUUGGAGUUCUGGUGACGAUGGUAUCAAAAGGUACAACAACGAAGAUCUGAGAUUAACUUCACCAGUAUAUCAAAGAUGCUUUUGUUUUGAGCACAUCUUUUAUGCACCAUGCCUUAUCCAGUAGGAUAUCUGAAUUUACUUCUU